rnacentral:rRNA from 1 species
UAAUACGGAGGGUGCAAGCGUUAAUCGGAAUUACUGGGCGUAAAGCGCACGCAGGCGGUUUGUUAAGUCAGAUGUGAAAUCCCCGAGCUUAACUUGGGAACUGCAUUUGAAACUGGCAAGCUAGAGUCUUGUAGAGGGGGGUAGAAUUCCAGGUGUAGCGGUGAAAUGCGUAGAGAUCUGGAGGAAUACCGGUGGCGAAGGCGGCCCCCUGGACAAAGACUGACGCUCAGGUGCGAAAGCGUGGGGAGCAAACAGGAUUAGAUACCCUGGUAGUCCACGCUGUAAACGAUGUCGACUUGGAGGUUGUGCACUUGAGGCGUGGCUUCCGGAGCUAACGCGUUAAGUCGACCGCCUGGGGAGUACGGCCGCAAGGUUAAA